UCCUCCCAUUACAAAAACCUAAAUUACAAAAACCUAAACCAUUAAGAAAAACAUUAUCUGUUACUUUAAAUCUCUUAGACUCAUAUCCGGUAAUCAAUUUCAUGUGUUACAUUUAUACGAUAACCCCUUGAAAUGUUCGACUAUAUAAAUCUCGAGAGAGGUUAUCAUCUUCCCAGGUUAUCAAUUUCUUUCUCCAACAUAAUCUCUCAAGAAUACUAGGUUUUUGUUGGUCUAUUGAGAAAAUGGUUGCCAUCUAUCUCAGGUAAGUUUUGAAUCCUAAGAUGCAUAUCAUUUUUAAACAUGUUUUGUGGGUGGGUCGUGGGAAAUUCCUACUUUGGUGGUGGCAAUUUUUUUUUCCGAGGUGUCAGAUUCUGAUUUGUGUUGGCCACCGAACAAUAAUUUUUCUGGGUCGAGAAGUUCUCCACGAAGUGAAUUCUCCACAAAUCUCCACAAAAUCUAAAGAGAUAACCUACAAUAGUAAGUUGUGGUUUGGGAAAGAAUUCUAAUGAUCAAGAGUGAUCUCAACUGUUUAGAAUGUGUUUUUCCCCAUUCGACAGUUGGACCUUUUCCAGCGAUCGACUGUUAUCAUUGCUCACAAAGUGCAAAAGAUAAAUCGUGGCUGAAAAUUCACCCACCUAAUAGGUCCUCAUCGACGCUGCUCAAUCAUUGAUUAAACUCUCGGCAUCAUAUUCCCAGGUUUUUUGCCAAUUUGUUUUUUUUUAGGUUAAGUAUCUGCAACAACUGUUGGAAUGUGCAAGAAAUGAAGAGAGCCAGUGAUCAGCCUUGCAUGAUUCACGCCUUAACUCUUCAGAACCUAAGGUACACCGUACACACACAUAUAAGUCUAUUCCUAUUUUCAUUGCUUCUGUUGGUAUCGAUGCCUACUGUAUUUCUCAUUUUUUGAAUCCCACACCAUUGUUUAUCCAGCGAAAACAAUGUGAAGAUAACACUAUGGGGUGAGCCGAGGAACGAGCCUCGAUAACUCCUAGACACAAAUGGAAUAAAGGAAACACCUGUUGUUUGUUGUAGUCUCAUUGUCCUAUGUCAAAAAUAUGUAUAUCAUCCAAACUACUAUUUGUUUUUAAUCCAAUUUAAUAUCCAGGGUAUAAAAACUUUUGUUAUUCAUGUCCCUAUAUUUCUUCUCAGGAAAGCACUCUUUGUGAUCCAUUACUGCCAGUAUGCCACUAAGGUCUUCUUAAACCUGACGUUCCUGAAGUUCAUGACAUUAAAAAAUGUAUCUAUGUGAUGUACACCGUUGUUAUAAUUUGUGAUGGCUAUUUAACAAAUGAAUCAAACUAACUUGAUUUUAACCACAGGUCAAAUAACAUUACCAGCUCCGACACGUCAAAUAACAUUACCAGCUCGAAAUAAUUGCUGGACAUUUGAUCCUCAACAAUAUAAAGACCAUUUCUGAACUGUUGUAUGCCAAAUGGGACCCCACUAAGCAAGUCAAUUUCGCAACAGCCAGAGUUGUAACAUAUCUUUGUAUUGUCACCAUGGAUUUUUUUUUUUAACAUCAUAGUUGCAUGUUCAACUCUGGAAUGCAGGUACUCAAUCGAAUUUUUGUCGAAGCGAGGGCAAAUAUAAUUUUGGAAUCAAACGGAUGGCACUAUUUGGGAUGCAACUGCACAACUAAAGCGGUUGGUGAAGAAGGGGACUGUGGAUGCAGGAAGUGUGAAGACAAGGCCGAGGAACCUGUACCGAGCUUUGAAGUGACAGGCCUAGCGGCCACACCAUAUUUGCUGCCCUAGAUAGUGAAGUCCAGCGUAUUGUCCACACCACUGCCUCAGACGUAGUUAUGAUGGGAGAGGUGCGCCACCACCUGUUUGUCUUUACUUAAUUUGGCAUCAUUGGCAGGAAGAGGGAAAAUGUAAGGUGGUUGCAGCUUUUGAAAACACCUUGAAUGUUGAGAUGGACCAGUCAGCACUGCGUUCAACAAGAAGAAUCAAAUACUCCCAGCUACACGGUUGCAAGGUUUCCUUUCCCUAUAGCAUCCCCAACAGUCCCUCCCUCAGGUCCCGUGCUCUUAACUGCCAAGGAUCAAAGUGACCCAGAUACGAAACCCACCAAAAAGAUCCUGUUAUAGAGUGUAAUAUAAUAUGUCUGCCUCUACUGUGCUUUUCAGUGAUGAAGUUUGACGGGAAAGAUUUUGGGCGACAAUAGACGUGUCAUGAAGCAUAUUAAUAACAUAGAUGUGUUGUCGCUCUUUUUCUUCUCUGCAGUUCAUGUUUUAUACAGAAACAUACAGAAAAAUGAAAAUUGUAUGUGUCUCUAGGUGCUUUGACGAUCAACCAGUCUGUAAUCCUACAUCGAAGUUUCAAGUGUGGCAUAUACUGUGUUCCUACAACUACAAGAUGUUAUAUUCCAUUAUCUUUUUAUCAAA